GAAAAAGAAAAGAGGAGAAACAAUGAAAAUUAGAUUUCCUCAUUUCUCUCCAAAACUUAUAAAAAUUUCUCUCCAAUUCGAAUUGUAAAGGAGGAGAAGAAAGUGAAAAAAAAAUUAUAAAGGUUGAAAUUGUGAAUGGGCCCUUACACCAUUCUUUUCUUUUUUAUCCACUUCCUCACAUAAGGUUACCAAACAAUAUAAUGUAAAUUAAUUUCUCUUCUUUUUCUCUAUUUAAUUUGUUGUAAUUUCCAUUGCACAAUUAAGGAAAACAAAGGCUCAUAACCCAACAAAAC
rnacentral:misc_RNA from 1 species